AUUGAACGCUGGCGGCGUGCUUAACACAUGCAAGUCGUGCGGUAACAGGCGUAGCAAUACGUGCUGACGAGCGGCGAACGGGUGCGUAAUACAUGGGAAUCUGCCCUUUAGUGGGGAAUAACCCGGCGAAAGCCGGGCUAAUGCCGCAUAAGAUCUUCGGAUGAAAGCGGGGGAUCGUAAGACCUCGCGCUGAUGGAUGAGCCCAUGCCGGAUUAGCAGUUGGUGAGGUAAAGGCUCACCAAGGCGACGAUCCGUAGCUGGUCUGAGAGGACGGCCAGCCACACUGGGACUGAGACACGGCCCAGACUCCUACGGGAGGCAGCAGUGGGAAUAUUGGACAUGGGGAAACCCUGAUCCAGCGACGCCGCGUGUGUGAAGAAGGCCU
rnacentral:rRNA from 1 species